UCCAUCUAUUAGACAAACUUUCAAAAGUCUGAGUCAACUGUGGUAUUUGUGUGUUGUCAAAUGUGGAAGGUGAAAUUACUUAAAUGUAAAAAAGAUCCACAAGGAACUUUUCCUAAGUUCUAAAGCACACAACAAAAUAGCCUUGAUCUUUAUGCUUAACUUU